rnacentral:rRNA from 1 species
UAUUGCCCAAUGGGGGUAACCCUGAUGCAGCGAGGCCGCGUGUGUGUGGAAGUAUUUCGGUAUGUAAAGCUCUAUCAGCAGGGAAGAAAAUGACGGUAUCUGAUUAAGAAGCCCCGGCUAACUACGUGCCAGCAGCCGCGGUAAUACGUAGGGGGCAAGCGUUAUCCGGAUUUACUGGGUGUAAAGGGAGCGUAGACGGCAGCACAAGUCUGGAGUGAAAUGCCGGGGCUUAACCCCGGAACUGCUUUGGAAACUGUGCAGCUAGAGUGCAGGAGAGGUAAGUGGAAUUCCUAGUGUAGCGGCGAAAUGCGUAGAUAUUAGGAGGAACACCAGUGGCGAAGGCGGCUUACUGGACUGUAACUGACGUUGAGGCUCGAAAGCGUGGGGAGCAAACAGG